CCGACUGACCACUGAUGCCAAUAAAACAAACUUCUUUGUCUACCAGAGGCAGACCAGCCAUGCUGUGAGAUGCAUCCAGUCGACACAGUCUUUCUUGUGGCCAAGAAUGUCAUGGAGAUUUGCUCGAGGGUCCAGUAAUGGCAUUCGGGAUACCAAAUUUGGUCAUUUUCCACUGCUGUAACCAAAACAUUUUGAUGAGGUAUCUUUAAACAGCGCUAAAUCAUCUCUGCCUCUGCCAAGAACCACAUUAAAACACUGCCUGGACCUCUGCUUAUUUAUCAUAAGAGCUGGAUCCCAAGUGCCCUCUCUUUGUUCAGAAUGGCUAAAGGGAGCACCUACAUGAGAGGAUUAUGCAUCAUUCUCAACGUUCUUCUCAUGAUCUUUGGAGUGAUCUUGCUUCUGUUUGGUAUAGUGGUAAACAGUGUUAAAGCUGCCCCUGUACAGGACUGGACUCCUCAGGUUGUGCUCCUUAGUGUUGGAUUUGGCUUGGCCACCUUCCUGCUCUCGGUUCUAGGAGUGUAUGGAGCUUACAGAGAGCAAGUGUUGCCUCUCCUUUUGUACAGUGUUUUUAUGGCCAUUAAGUUCACUGUGCUCAUGGUGCUGGCAAUCAUAGCAACCCUUGCUCAGCCUCAGGUAACAGCAGUUUUAAAGCAUUUAAAAGCUAAUUUAAAACUGUCAAGUUUUCAUGAGUUUUUUUUUAAAUAUUAAUUUCUAUUGGUCACUCAGAUGGAGAAGAUGAUUGAACAGAGCUUUAGAAGAAUGACCUCACUGUACAAUGUAGAUGAAGUAUUUCAGAGAGAACUCAACAAACUACAAAAAGAGGUAAACAUUACUACUGCUGCCGCCACUCCUACUGAAAUUACGGCUGCUACCAGUAUAGUACUGCUGCUGCUGCCACUACUACAAAAACUAUUGCUCCCACCAGUAUACUACUAGUGCUGCUGCUGCUGCCACUACUACUGAAAUUACUGCUGCUACCAGUGUACUAAAUACUAGUACUGCUGCUGCCACUACUACUGAAACUACUGCAGCUACCAGAAUACUAUUAGUUCUGCUGCUGCCACUACUACUAAAACUGCUGCUGCUACCAGUAUACCACUAGUACUGCUUCUACCAGUAUACUACUAGUACUGCUGCUGCCACUACUACAAACACUUGUCCCAGAAAUUAUUGCGAUAAACAAUAAUAUUGUCAUUUUAAAGCGUCACUAUAGAAAAUUCUAUUUUUCCUGUUUCUAGGCUUGCAAA
rnacentral:lncRNA from 1 species